UACAGAGGUCUCAAGCGUUGUUCGGAUUCAUUGGGCGUAAGGGUGCGUAGGUGGCGAGGUUAGUCAGGUGUGAAAUCUCGGGGCUCAACCCCGAAACUGCACUUGAUACUGCCUUGCUAGAGUACUGGAGAGGAGAUUGGAAUUUACGGUGUAGCAGUGAAAUGCGUAGAUAUCGUAAGGAAGACCAGUGGCGAAGGCGAAUCUCUGGACAGUUACUGACACUGAGGCACGAAGGCCAGGGGAGCAAACGGG
rnacentral:rRNA from 1 species